rnacentral:snoRNA from 1 species
CCUCCUUUUCUUGGCGGGGACUGGGCUUGUGGUCCCGCUCCCUGUAAUGUACAGGAGGAAAAGGGAAAGGGCUCUGGCCCCCUCGGCGUCAUGUCUUUGCUGCCGGUGGCUUCCCAUCCUCUGGUUCUAUCCUCAAGUGCUGAGACACUG